rnacentral:misc_RNA from 1 species
GACUAAUGAUCAUCUACCCUAUGGUGUCAUUAUCAAGCCUAUUUCUUUAUUCAUUUUACUAUAAUUUCUUGUUUGGAAUCUAAACUCAAUAACCGGCCAUACCUUAAUAAUAUUUUUUUCAUUAGACUAUUUCUCAAUCAUCAAUGCCACAAAUGUUUUCCAAGCAACAUUAAUUUCAGCUGGUUUUCGUUUAAGGGCAAUCAAGGGGUGAUUCAGUUCGAGUUCUUGAGGGAGAUAAUAUGACCCUUUACAAUUAACUGAUUCCAGGCUUUCUUUUUGUUUUCCUUUUGUUUUUCAAAGCAGUAAAUAGCACAUUCUUUAAUGAAGGAUUCGAUUCAGCCAAGGCUAUACAGCUGCUAUAGAUGCAGAAACCUGGUGUCCUGUCAUGAUGAUAUUAUCUCCAAGAGUUUCCAGGUGAACUUGCUUGAUCACUCUCUUCAGCCAUACAAAUCUAUUAUAAUUAGAUUUAUUAUCUUUAAUAAAUUUGUUUUUUCAUUUUAAUUGAUGUAGCAAACUGAAUAGAUCCUCUAUUCAUGAUCUUUAUUAACAAAUUAAGCUCUCUGAUCAAUGUCAUAAUUGAAAAUCCUUGCGAGCUUUUUGAAUACUAAAGUUACCCUGAUAUGUAUGGAGAAAUUUCUUUAGGCAAGCAAUGGCAGAGCCUUUCUUUUCUCGCAUGCAAUGAACAUAAUUGUAGGACAUAAAGAGGAUCGGCAGAUGAUUACUGGUCUCCAUACGGUUGCUGAUGUCUACUGUUCUGACUGCGGAGAGUUGCUGGGUUGGAAGUACGAGAGAGCUUACGAGGAAUCGCAGAAGUACAAGGAAGGAAAAUUCGUACUCGAAAAAUUCAAGAUUGUCAAGGAAAACUGGUAGCAAUUUGUUUCAUCUUAUAUCAGAUGGAGAUUCUAUUUUGAUUGAUUGUUUUACGUCUCAUUGUUUGUACGUACAAAUAUCUUUCAUAUCGCAACUCAAUAACUCGCAUUGUACUGGUGGCGGCUUGUAAUCCAAUUAUAACAAGUGAAUGUUUGUCUUUUUAGUAAUUUCCAGGUAGCUUCCUGUAAACUUCCUGUAGUAUCUGGGUUCGAAGGUUUUUUUCACCUAUUACGUAAAUGCAUAUGCCAUGACGCCCAGUUCUUUGGCAGUCUACUUGCAUCAGCCUCGCUGUCUUGGAAGUCUUGCCCUUGAUAUUUCUAUGCCAAG